AGUAACACGUGGGCGACCUGCCUUGGGGUGGGGAAUAACGCUGGGAAACCAGCGCUAAUACCGCAUACGCUCGCGGCUUCAUAGCCGUGAGGAAAGCUUGAUGCGCUCUAAGAGGGGCCUGCGGCGGAUUAGCUAGUCGGUGGGGUAACGGCCUACCGAGGCGACGAUCCGUAGCUGGUCUGAGAGGAUGAUCAGCCACACUGGGACUGAGACACGGCCCAG
rnacentral:rRNA from 1 species